GAUUUAGAGGAAUACAAAACACUGAACUUCACCGAUGUAGAUGAAGACGCCCAAUCAACAAAACGCACCGGACAGCGCGCGAUAAGGGUGUUUGACCAUAUGACCUCCAUCAUCUGAGACUGAUGCAUUAUCCAUGAGCUCCAGCCUCUCCAAGGAACCAAUCCUCUCCCUCAAACUGCUCCUUUUGGAGAAACCCCAACAACAGACGAGGUACAGCUACUCCUGUUGCUAAGUCUCAAACUGUUUCAGCUGCUGUGGUUCCUCCCACCGCCCCCUGAUACCCCCUGCUGUAGCCCACCCCGCUCCAACUACCACAGCCAACUACUUCUCCAUUGCCCUGGACAGAAGUUCUCGUGCAAGAUGGGUAUUGGACACAUGUACACUCAUCGAACCCAUACUAGGACUAGACAUUACAGGCAGUAUAUAUAUAUAUAAACUGUCUCUAACUUUCUGUGUUACUUUACUCUGGAUUGCUGGGUUUUUGUUCUACUAAACUUGCUUGAUUCUUGUUUGUUGGGUGGUUAUGCUAAACUUACUUGGCUCUUGUUUGCUUGAUGGUUCUACUCAAGUUACGUGCCUCUUAUUUGCUGGGUGGUUCUGCUAAACUUACUUGGCUCUUGUUUGCUGGGUGGUUCUAUUAAAGUUACUUGACUCUUCUUUGCUGGGUGGUUCUGCUAAACUUACUUGGCUCUUGUUUGCUGGGUUUUUCUGCUAAACUUACUUGGCUCUUGUUUGCUGGGUGGUUCUAUUAAACUUACUUGGCUCUUGUUUGCUGGGUGGUUCUAUUAAAGUUACUUGACUCUUCUUUGCUGGGUGGUUCUGCUAAACUUACUUGGCUCUUGUUUGCUGGGUGGUUCUAUUAAACUUACUUGGCUCUUGUUUGCUGGGUGGUUCUACUAAAUUUACUUGACUCUUCUUUGCUGGGUGGUUCUGCUAAACUUACUUGGCUCUUCACUGGAUUUUUGUGCAUGUCUGUUAAAUGGUAGCUUCAGCCCAAAGAAAUGUUCACUUCUAAGAACUGAAUUAAAUGUUUAUGCCAAAAGGGCACUGCUAUCAAUUUGGCCCUAUGACCCUUUUAAAUAAGAGGGGACAGCAGUGAACAAUGUAGCCAUUUUCUUUGUUUUAUGAAAUGUGUCAUUUUUAGUUAGGAAAAAUUCACAUUUAUUAUGAAAAUCUAAAAUUUAAACAGGGCAUAUUAAAAAUGUUGGCACUGAGAAGUGGAAGCAUACAAAUACUAUUAAAAGUAAACAUAAGACUUUUAUAAACAUUUGCAGAGAUGAAGGGACUUCACUUGUAAGUAGAAGAAUUCCAAGUAAUACCUGCCACAUCAAAAUAGAAAAUGGAAUUUUGCAGAAUUAUAGCCUUUCUUUUCAUAUUAUCAUUUUAGCCUAUUUUGAUGACUUACUUUGAGAUCUCCAGUCACUAAUUAUCAUUGCUUUCCUCAAACAAAGAUCUGAGCAAAUCUGACUUAUUUAAAAAAAGCAGCAGAUGCUGUUAAACCAAAUGAGGUAUUUUAUUUUAUUUUAUUUCUCUUUUUUACUUUUACUUUUACUUUUACCAUUUACUAUUUUGCAACACUGUUCAGAGCCCCUUAAGGCAAGGGUAAAUGAAGGUUAGCACUGGCCGAUGGCUGAACUAACGAUGAGUGGGUGUGUGAGCGAGAGUGAAACUUUAAUGUCCAGUUCAGGUUUCUCCUCUUCAUUACUUUAUUCAUCAAAACAUUGUGUUCCUAUACCCUUCUUUUCAACAACUGAAAUUAUAGUUCCUGGAAGAAGGCCAAUGUUUGUUUUUUACUGUUUCUUUAUAUUUAGUGCAUCUAGUUUAAAGCAAACACGAGUUACGUACUUAAAGUUUGUUUUAUAAAUGAAAGUCAGCAAACUAAGGUAGUCAUCUCACAUGAAUAAAAACAAUGUAAUUUUUAAAAACUGCACAGUCACCCGGACAAUGUCACUAUUUCUUCACACACUGCUUUUAUCACAACUACACACAAGUAUCUUGAACAGUGUCUUUGUCACGGACUGCUGCUCUCCUCACUAGUCACGCGGUUCGGCCAGCCACGUGCAGUGGGAGUUAAUUGUUAUUGUCUUAUUUGUAACCACACCCUCCUUG